UCGAAUAGGAGCAAAAGUGAAAUAGAAUUACAAGUUUACAACCACCAUAGCAAGAAUAGUAGAAUCACUAGAAUGUGAAUGUGAACUUUAAAAAAAGGCAUAUUUUGGCCGGUCAACUCUUUGGCAAAUAUGGUUGUCAGUUGACCAAAAUAAAAUGGCGUCUACUCUGUCUGCUAUCUCUGCUCAUCCGACAAUGCAACCCCUAUCCCGCCACGUAGCAGUGAUCGGCGCCGGCGCCGCCGGCCUGGUCGCAGCACGUGAGCUCCGGCGGGAAGGUCACACUGUCGUCGUCUUCGAGCGAGGAGACCAAAUCGGUGGCACGUGGGUAUACACUCCAGAAGUGGAGUCCGACCCAAUUGGUCUCCACCCAAACAGAACUGUAGUCCACUCGAGCAUGUACCAGUCUCUCAGGACCAACCUCCCGAGAGAGAUCAUGGGCUUCCGAGACUACCCAUUUGCGGCCAAGGAACAGGAUGGAGAUGGAGACCCGAGAAGGUUUCCGGGUCAUAGAGAAGUGUUGAAGUACUUGAAUGGUUUUGCUAAGGACUUUGGGAUCUGUGAGAUUGUGAGGUUUGAGAGUGAGGUGGUGUUUGUGGGUUUGGUGGAGGGUGGAAAGUGGAAGGUGAAGUCCAAGAGGAAGAGAGGUGAGGAUUUGGAGGAGGUUUAUGAUGCUGUGGUUGUCUGUAAUGGUCAUUUUACUGAGCCUCGUGUGGCCCAGAUUCCAGGCAUCAGCUCAUGGAAAGGAAAGCAAGUUCACAGCCACAAUUAUCGGACUCCUGAGCCAUUUCGAGAUCAGGUUGUAAUUUUGAUAGGCAGCUCAGCUAGUGCUAUUGAUAUUUCUCGGGACAUAGCUGGAGUUGCCAAAGAAGUCCACAUUGCAUCUAGAUCUGUUGCCACUGAAACCAUGGAAAAGAAGCCUGGCUAUGAUAACAUGUGGCUUCAUUCUAUGAUCAAAAGUGUCCAUGAAGAUGGUAGUGUGGUUUUCCCAGAUGGGAGUGUUGUACUUGCUGACAUCAUUCUUCAUUGCACAGGGUACAAAUAUCAUUUCCCUUUUCUUGAAACCAAUGGCAUUGUAACUGUGGAUGACAACCGUGUUGGGCCACUGUAUAAACAUAUCUUUCCUCCAGCAUUGGCUCCCUCAGUUUCCUUUGUUGGGAUACCUUUUAAGGUCGUUCCUUUUGCUAUGUAUGAAUUUCAAAGUAAGUGGAUAGCAGGUAUUUUGUCGAAUCGAAUUGCACUUCCAUCUGAAGAGGAGAUGAUGGAGGAUGUCCAAAUUUUCUACUCGUUGCAGGAAGCUUCUGGUAUACCCAAACGAUUCACCCAUAUGAUAGAUGAUUACCAGUUUGAAUAUGAUGAUUGGCUUGCAUCUCACUGUGGGUGUCCAGUCUCUGAGGAAUGGAGACAGCAAAUGUGGUUGGCCACUUUUAAGAAUGCUCGUCUCCGAGGACCAUUGUACCGGGAAGAGUGGGAUGAUCACCAUUUAAUAUUGCAAGCUCAGGAGGACUUCAGGAAAUACACCUUCAAUGGAGUUGGUAUGAUAACUGAUGACAAGUGACAGACUGCCCAGAUCAUUGAGAAAUGAAGCAACUUUCUCAUUUCUUUAGGCUUUUGGCCCAGAGACUAAUCCGUGCCAGGGGAUCAUGUCAGAACGCUUCCUCCCCAUUGGCCACUAAGAAUAUAUUGGGAUUUAACUCCAAUAAGCGUCGGUGGGAUUCGAACCCGGGUGUAGGGGUUCCACACCUGGAGGCUCUUACCAACUCGACCACCUGUGGUGGUUGGCUUUUGGUAAUCUUGAUUUGCCCCUGUACCUAAAGUUAGAAACGAGUUUCCCUCCAAAAAUGGUUUGGGUUCAAUUCACAAAUCUUGUGUUAUAUAGAGCUUUUACUUAUAGUGAGCAAAGAAAUCUUGUUGCGUAUAAUUCAAUAAGAUGUUCCCUCAGUGCCAUGCUUGAAUCAA